rfam:Otolemur garnettii contig144740, whole genome shotgun sequence.
GCCAGACGCGAUGGCAUGUGUCUGUAGUCCCAGCUGCUCAGGAGGCUGAGACAGGAGGAUUGCUUGAGUCCAGGACUUCAGGGUUGUAGUGCGCUAUGCCAAUUGGGUGUCUGCACUAACUUCGGCAUCAAUAUGGUGACCUCCCAGGAACGGGGGACCACCAGGUUGCCUAAGGAGGAGUGAACCAGCCCAGGUUGGAAAUGGAGCAGGUCAAAAUUCCCAAGUUGAUCAGUAGUGGGAUGGUGCCUGUGAAUAGCCACUGCACUCCAGCCUGGCCAACAUAGUGAGACCCUGUCUCUA